ACGAAGGGGGCUAGCGUUGUUCGGAAUUACUGGGCGUAAAGCGCACGUAGGCGGACUUAUAAGUCAGGGGUGAAAUCCCGGGGCUCAACCUCGGAACUGCCUUUGAUACUGUAAGUCUCGAGACCGGAAGAGGUGAGUGGAAUUCCUAGUGUAGAGGUGAAAUUCGUAGAUAUUAGGAAGAACACCAGUGGCGAAGGCGGCUCACUGGUCCGGUUCUGACGCUGAGGUGCGAAAGCGUGGGGAGCAAACAGG
rnacentral:rRNA from 1 species